CAGUCGCCACGGUAAUACGUAGGGUGCGAGCGUUAAUCGGAAUUACUGGGCGUAAAGCGUGCGCAGGCGGUUGUGUAAGACAGGUGUGAAAUCCCCGGGCUUAACCUGGGAACUGCGCUUGUGACUGCACAGCUAGAGUAUGGCAGAGGGGGGUGGAAUUCCACGUGUAGCAGUGAAAUGCGUAGAGAUGUGGAGGAACACCGAUGGCGAAGGCAGCCCCCUGGGCCAAUACUGACGCUCAUGCACGAAAGCGUGGGGAGCAAACAGGAUUAGAUACCCGUGUAGUCCCUGUCUCUUAUAC
rnacentral:rRNA from 1 species